rnacentral:rRNA from 1 species
UCGACGGUAACGGAAGCAGCUUGCUGCUUCGCUGACGAGUGGCGGACGGGUGAGUAAUGUCUGGGAAACUGCCUGAUGGAGGGGGAUAACUACUGGAAACGGUGGCUAAUACCGCAUAACGUCGCAAGACCAAAGAGGGGGACCUUCGGGCCUCUUGCCAUCAGAUGUGCCCAGAUGGGAUUAGCUUGUUGGUGAGGUAACGGCUCACCAAGGCGACGAUCCCUAGCUGGUCUGAGAGGAUGACCAGCCACACUGGAACUGAGACACGGUCCAGACUCCUACGGGAGGCAGCAGUGGGGAAUAUUGCACAAUGGGCGCAAGCCUGAUGCAGCCAUGCCGCGUGUAUGAAGAAGGCCUUCGGGUUGUAAAGUACUUUCAGCGGGGAGGAAGGUGUUGUGGUUAAUAACCGCAGCAAUUGACGUUACCCGCAGAAGAAGCACCGGCUAACUCCGUGCCAGCAGCCGCGGUAAUACGGAGGGUGCAAGCGUUAAUCGGAAUUACUGGGCGUAAAGCGCACGCAGGCGGUCUGUCAAGUCGGAUGUGAAAUCCCCGGGCUCAACCUGGGAACUGCAUUCGAAACUGGCAGGCUUGAGUCUUGUAGAGGGGGGUAGAAUUCCAGGUGUAGCGGUGAAAUGCGUAGAGAUCUGGAGGAAUACCGGUGGCGAAGGCGGCCCCCUGGACAAAGACUGACGCUCAGGUGCGAAAGCGUGGGGAGCAAACAGGAUUAGAUACCCAGGUAGUCCACGCCGUANACGAUGUCUACUUGGAGGUUNUGCCCUUGAGGCGUGGCUUCCGGAGCUAACGCGUUAAGUAGACCGCCUGGGGAG